rnacentral:rRNA from 1 species
AGGAAAUAGAUACCCCGGUAGUCCACGCUGUAAACGAUGAGUGCUGGACGUUGGCGGGUUUACCUGCCGGUGUCGCAGCUAAACGCGUUAAGCACUCCGCCUGGGGAGUACGGCCGCAAGGUUAAAACUCAAAGGAAUUGACGGGGGCCCGCACAAGCGGUGGAGCAUGUGGUUUAAUUCGACGCAACGCGCAGAACCUUACCAGCCCUUGACAUGGGCGGACGGGGUCCAGAGAUGGACUCUUUCUCGCAAGAGACCGCUACACAGGUGCUGCAUGGCUGUCGUCAGCUCGUGUCGUGAGAU